rnacentral:rRNA from 1 species
GACGAACGCUGGCGGCGUGCCUAAUACAUGCAAGUUGAGCGCUGAAGGUUGGUACUUGUACCAACUGGAUGAGCAGCGAACGGGCGAGUAACGCGUGGGGAAUCUGCCUUUGAGCGGGGGACAACAUUUGGAAACGAAUGCUAAUACCGCAUAAAAACUUUAAACACAAGUUUUAAGUUUGAAAGAUGCAAUUGCAUCACUCAAAGAUGAUCCCGCGUUGUAUUAGCUAGUUGGUGAGGUAAAGGCUCACCAAGGCGAUGAUACAUAGCCGACCUGAGAGGGUGAUCGGCCACAUUGGGACUGAGACACGGCCCAAACUCCUACGGGAGGCAGCAGUAGGGAAUCUUCAGCAAUGGACGAAAGUCUGACCGAGCAACGCCGCGUGAGUGAAGAAGGUUUUCGGAUCGUAAAACUCUGUUGGUAGAGAAGAACGUUGGUGAGAGUGGAAAGCUCAUCAAGUGACGGUAACUACCCAGAAAGGGACGGCUAACUACGUGCCAGCCGCCGCAGUAA